rnacentral:rRNA from 1 species
CCCUUAGAUGUCCGGGGCUGCACGCGCGCUACACUGUAGAAAGCAGCGGGCUUUAAAACCUUUCCUGAAAAGGAUGGGUAACCCCAGCAAAAUUCUACGUGCUUGGGAUAGAGAUUUGCAAUUUUCUCUCUUGAACGAGGAAUUCCCAGUAAGUGCGAGUCAUCAGCUCGCGUUGAUUACGUCCCUGCCCUUUGUACACACCGCCCGUCGCUACUACCGAUUGGGAAAAUUUUAGAGAGUCCUGGACUGAUGAUUGUUCGGCUUCACGGCCUUACUUUCGUCGGGAAAGAAUUCGAUAAUAUUUUUCUAGAGGAAGUAAAAGUCGUAACA